CCUACGGGAGGCAGCAGUGAGGAAUAUUGGUCAAUGGGCGCGAGCCUGAACCAGCCAAGUAGCGUGAAGGAUGACUGCCCUACGGGUUGUAAACUUCUUUUAUAAAGGAAUAAAGUGAGGCUCGUGUGCCUUUUUGUAUGUACUUUAUGAAUAAGGCUCGGCUAACUCCGUGCCAGCAGCCGCGGUAAUACGGAGGAUCCGAGCGUUAUCCGGAUUUAUUGGGGUUAAAGGGAGCGUAGAUGGGUUGUUAAGUCAGUUGUGAAAGUUUGCGGCUCAACCGUAGAAGUGCAAUUGAUACUGGCAGCCUUGAGUACAGUAGAGGUAGGCGGAAUUCGUGGUGUAGCGGUGAAAUGCGUAGAUAUCACGAAGAACUCCGAGUGCGAAGGCAGCCUACUAAGCUGCCACUGACAUUGAUGCUCGAAAGUGUGGGUAUCAAACAGGAUUAGAUACCCCGGUAGUC
rnacentral:rRNA from 1 species